rnacentral:misc_RNA from 1 species
UACUGCUCUUUCAAAAUUUCAGUGAACUCUUUUGCUUUAGCCUCAAAAUUUGUCGCAGAUAAGUUAUUGAUAAUAAAUGAAAUCUUAUCCUGUAUUUCUGAUGCAGGAGCCUCUAUGGGUGUUUCUCUUCUCUCUGCAGCUGCAACAAGUGUUUCAAUAUUCAGUGCAGAACCAAACCUUCCUGAGGUAAUGGCUCUAGAUGGGCGAAGAAAACCAGGAGAAGAUGUCAGUACUGCUGAAGUACUGCUUGGACCUUGUGGCUUCUGAAUGCCAGCAUUAUCACUUGAAGGAACUGUGGCAGGUUGCACUGCAGGUGAUAAAGCUGGCUUCAAGUAGCCAGAGAGAGCAGCAGAGGGUUUUCUCUCCUCUAUGGGGCUUUGUUGCCUCAGAGGAAGCUGGCUUGAAGAGGGUCCUUGCGUACUUUGCUGCAAACCACUCUGUCCAACCACUUGAAAUGUUUGACCCUCGGAAUUCAUUGGGGAAGAUGGGAUAGGACCGUGGAAUUGAUCAACAGCAGGGCUGUGGCCUACCUCUGACUCAGAAUGUGCCAGUGAUAUCCUAGCAAGUGCCCGUUCAAUGAACACAACAAGCUCUGGAUUAGCUACUCG